rnacentral:rRNA from 1 species
GAUGAACGCUGGCGGCGUGCUUAACACAUGCAAGUCGAGCGAGUGAGUUCUUCGGAACGAUCUAGCGGCGGACGGGUGAGUAACACGUGGGCAACCUGCCUCAUAGAGGGGGAUAGCCUCCUGAAAGGGAGAUUAAUACCGCAUAAAAUUAUCGAGUGGCAUCACAUGAUAAUCAAAGGAGUAAUCCGCUAUGAGAUGGGCCCGCGGCGCAUUAGCUAGUUGGUGAGGUAACGGCUCACCAAGGCGACGAUGCGUAGCCGACCUGCGAGGGUGAUCGGGCAUAUUGGGACUGAGACACGGACCAGACUCCUACGGGAGGCAGCAGUGGGGAAUAUUGCACAAUGGGGGAAACCCUGAUGCAGCAACGCCGCGUGAGUGAUGAAGGUCUUCGGAUUGUAAAGCUCUGUCUUUGGGGACGAUAAUGACGGUACCCAAGGAGGAAGCCACGGCUAACUACGUGCCAGCCGCCGCCGUAA